rnacentral:lncRNA from 1 species
AUGGGGAAAAAAAACCCAACAACUUCCGAAUGGAAGAGGGAAUCAUUUCUCCUCCUGACUACGCAAUCGUCUUACAAGAGCCUUAUUCAGAGCAGCCGGCAGGGAAUUAUAUUUUCACAAACUGAUUUAUGGCCCAGCCCGAAUACUGCCUGUUUCAAUAGGACUUCCGCAAGCAGAUUUAGACUUGAGUUACACGGUGGGUCCGUUCAGAACCAUCUUCCUCUACGACGAAACGUUUUCGUGACAAAAGUGGCCCAAAUCAACGCACUGGUGCUCCUUAGAAUUCUCGGCCUGGCAGCGAACACGCUUCAGGAGGCCUGCGUGGCUGUCGCCUGCAUGGGCCUUCCCAGCGAGCUGUGUUUGUUUUCUGAAGCGUGCUUAAUGUGGGCCCAGCCACGGGACACAAUUGCUUCAUUUCUAUUCUCGGCAGCGGCCAUGCCUACAUUACAACCGCCUGCCUGGGCCCACACAAGAUUUCCAGAGAAAUGAGCAUGGCAUUAAACACCCCGUUUUACAUGAGGAGAAAGCAGCAAAAGGCAGUCGGGCCUGGCAGCCUCACUCCCUCCCCAGAGAUGUCUGAGUGGACCGGAAGGCCUCGUGGGGGUCACCUUUGCCUCAAGGAAUAAUUCCCCUCCAGGAAAGUCCCCGCCAUCAUCCUUUAUAAAAAGACUUCCAUUGCCGGCGAGGGAGUUAUUUCUGAGACAGCACUGCCAACAAAUGUAACCCUUUGGGAAAAGUGCUAAGUCAAGCUGGGAUUCCCCACCGAGGGCUCCGGAGCCUCUGCAGUCUCUCAGGAAAAGACAAUCUUGGUAUAAGCGUAUUAAUGUCGCUUUUCUUGAACCGCAAAGGGGGAAUGGGAGGAGGGUUCUCCCAAUUUUACCAGAAUAAAAAUGCCCUGAGGAAACAUUUGACUUUGGAAUUUUUAAUUGGAAUCAUGAAAAGAAAGAAAUGGGGAGUGGAGAAGGAAAGAAAAUUGGUUUCCCAUUCUAUUCUCGGUCUUUCUGUCGGGCUGAACUUUGAAAUGCUGAGUUUUGUCCUGGGUGGGUGAGUCCAGGGAAGAUGAAGGCCCCACGCUGGGGAGUGAUCUGGAAGGGUCCCAGAUGUUCAAAUCGAGAUUCUUCAUCUUUCCCCGGAGCCAUCUCAUCCUGUGGUUUCCUUGGCUGUUCAUUGACC